rnacentral:rRNA from 1 species
UACAGAGGUCUCAAGCGUUGUUCGGAUUCAUUGGGCGUAAAGGGUGCGUAGGCGGCGCGGUAAGUCGGGUGUGAAAUUUCGAGGCUUAACUUCGAAACUGCAUUCGAUACUGCCGUGCUUGAGGACUGGAGAGGAGACUGGAAUUUACGGUGUAGCGGUGAAAUGCGUAGAUAUCGUAAGGAAGACCAGUGGCGAAGGCGGGGUCUCUGGACAGUUCCUGACGCUGAGGCACGAAGGCCAGGGGGAGCAAACGGG